GCGGGGAUAGAGCAAGGGCGGCUCAAUGGUCUCAUAAACCAUUUCACGGCAGCCUUCGACUCCUGCCCCCGCA
rnacentral:tRNA from 1 species